AACGAACGCUGGCGGCGUGCCUAACACAUGCAAGUCGAACGCGAAAGGGGGCAACCCCCGGUAGCGUGGCAGACGGGUGAGUAACACGUGGGUAACCUACCCGGAGGUGGGGGAUAACCCUUCGAAAGGAGGGCUAAUACCGCAUGACACCGUGAGGACCUCGGUCCUUGCGAUCAAAGCUGGCCUCUGUUUACAAGCUAGCGCCACCGGAUGGGCCCGCGCCCCAUUAGCUAGUUGGUGAGGUAACGGCNCACCAAGGCGACGAUGGGUAGCCGGCCUGAGAGGGCGAUCGGCCACACUGGAACUGCGACACGGUCCAGACUCCUACGGGAGGCAGCAGUGAGGAAUCUUGCGCAAUGGGCGAAAGCCUGACGCAGCGACGCCGCGUGGAGGAUGAAGGUCUUCGGAUUGUAAACUCCUGUCGAGUGGGACGAAUGCCGUGA
rnacentral:rRNA from 1 species